AGAGUUUGAUCCUGGCUCAGGAUGAACGCUGGCGGCGUGCCUAAUACAUGCAAGUCGAGCGAAUGGAUUGAGAGCUUGCUCUCAAAAAGUUAGCGGCGGACGGGUGAGUAACACGUGGGUAACCUGCCCAUAAGACUGGGAUAACUCCGGGAAACCGGGGCUAAUACCGGAUAACAUUUUGAACUGCAUGGUUCGAAAUUGAAAGGCGGCUUCGGCUGUCACUUAUGGAUGGACCCGCGUCGCAUUAGCUAGUUGGUGAGGUAACGGCUCACCAAGGCAACGAUGCGUAGCCGACCUGAGAGGGUGAUCGGCCACACUGGGACUGAGACACGGCCCUUACUCCUACGGGAGGCAGCAGUGGGGAAUAUUGGACAAUGGACCAAAAGUCUGAUCCAGCAAUUCUGUGUGCACGAUGAAGGUCUUCGGAUUGUAAAGUGCUUUCAGUUGGGAAGAAGAAAGUGACGGUACCAACAGAAGAAGCGACGGCUAAAUACGUGCCAGCAGCCGCGGUAAUACGUAUGUCGCAAGCGUUAUCCGGAUUUAUUGGGCGUAAAGCGCGUCUAGGCGGAAAAGUAAGUCUGAUGUGAAAAUGCGGGGCUCAACUCCGUAUUGCGUUGGAAACUGCUUUUCUAGAGUACUGGAGAGGUGGGCGGAACUACAAGUGUAGAGGUGAAAUUCGUAGAUAUUUGUAGGAAUGCCGAUGGAGAAGUCAGCUCACUGGACAGAUACUGACGCUGAAGCGCGAAAGCGUGGGGAGCAAACAGGAUUAGAUACCCUGGUAGU
rnacentral:rRNA from 1 species